AUCCCUGCAAUACAAAGAGUCACCUGAUCACGGAUUCUCUGCCUGGACCUUGGAUAGACCAUUGGACCACAUCUUGUGAUGGAGUGCGGUUCAAGAAAUGACAUUCCCGAAAGGAGAGAAGCUGUAGGGUUGGGCGGACACACGCAGUGGUGGGGGACUGGGGCCCAAGGGGAGGCGUGUGGGGAGGAACCCCUCCUGUCCAGGAAGGCCCAGUCUUUGGUGGUCUCGGCAAAAUGAAGGAUGGGCCCCAAGUGGAGAGCAGCACGUCCACAGAACUCAUUUCUAUCACCCCAGUUUGUUUUACACUCCACCAGGAAAAUCUUCUGUCCACGGGACUCUUUUUUUUUUUUUUUUUGAGACGGAGUCUAGCUCUAUCGCCAGGGUGGAGUGGAGUGUGCGAUCUCAGCUCAUUGUAACCUCUGCCUCCAGGGUUCAAGGCAUUCUCCUGUUUCAGCCUCCUGAGUAGCUGUGAUUACAGGCAGGCGCUGCCACGCCCAGCUAAUUUUUGUAUUUUUAGUAGAAACGGGGUUUCACCAUGUUAGCCAGGUUGGUCUCGAUCUGUUGACCUCAUGAUCCACCUGCCUUGUCCUGCCAAAGUCCUGGGAUUACAGGCAUGAGCCACCGUGCCCGGCCUCACAGGAUUUUUUUUUUAAUGGAAGCAUGCCAUACCUAAGACCUACUACCCUGAGAAGCAGUGAAGUGCUCCUGGGGCCCACCAAGGCCACACAAGUCAAGGAGUGGAUGGCCUUGCUCCAGCUACUGCUCAGAUCACCUUUGCAAGAUGACAUUGUGUUGGGAGAUGGUCAUCAGAGCCAGGGCCAUGGAAGAUGCUGUCAGGAGGCACGAGGAAAGGCUAUGGGAGCACAAAGCAAGAAAGUGGCCUUCUGCAAGCCAGGAAGAGAGGCCUCCCCAGAAACCAACUCUGUGAGCUCAUCGAUCUUUGACUUUUGGCCUCCAGAACAUUGAGAAAAUAAAAGUCUGUUGUUAAACCACCCAACCUUUAGUAUCUUUCUAUGGCAGCCUCAGCUGACUAAUACCCUUGGACACAGGUGGAGGAAUUGGUAAUUUU
rnacentral:lncRNA from 10 species